UACGGGGGGGGCAAGCGUUGUUCGGAAUUACUGGGCGUAAAGCGCACGUAGGCGGCUUUGUAAGUUAGAGGUGAAAGCCCGGGGCUCAACUCCGGAACUGCCUUUAAGACUGCAUCGCUUGAAUCCAGGAGAGGUGAGUGGAAUUCCGAGUGUAGAGGUGAAAUUCGUAGAUAUUCGGAAGAACACCAGUGGCGAAGGCGGCUCACUGGUCCGGUACUGACGCUGAGGUGCGAAAGCGUGGGGAGCAAACAGG
rnacentral:rRNA from 1 species